UCGGGAAUAUUGCGCAAUGGAGGAAACUCUGACGCAGUGACGCCGCGUAUAGGAAGAAGGUUUUCGGAUUGUAAACUAUGUCGUUAGGGAAGAAAAAGACAGUACCUAAGGAGGAAGCUCCGGCUAACUACGUGCCAGCAGCCGCGGUAAUACGUAGGGAGCAAGCGUUAUCCGGAUUUAUUGGGUGUAAAGGGUGCGUAGACGGGCGAUCAAGUUAGUUGUGAAAUCCCUCGGCUCAACUGAGGAACUGCAACUAAAACUGGUUGUCUUGAGUGCAGGAGAGGUAAGUGGAAUUCCUAGUGUAGCGGUGAAAUGCGUAGAUAUUAGGAGGAACACCAGUGGCGAAGGCGACUUACUGGACUGUAACUGACGUUGAGGCACGAAAGUGUGGGGAGCAAACAGGAUUAGAUACCC
rnacentral:rRNA from 1 species